rnacentral:rRNA from 1 species
UACAGAGGUCCCGAGCGUUGUUCGGAUUCAUUGGGCGUAAAGGUGCGUAGGCGGCGCGGUAAGUCGGGUGUGAAACCUCCAGGCUCAACCUGGAGACGCCACUUGAUACUGCCGUGACUGGAGUCCGGUAGGGGAGCGUGGAAUUCCUGGUGUAGCGGUGAAAUGCGCAGAUAUCAGGAGGAACACCAGCGGCGAAAGGCAGGCUCUCUGGG